rnacentral:lncRNA from 1 species
GUGCAGUGGCGCGAUCUCGGCUCACUGCAACCUCCGCCUCCCGGGUUCAUGCCAUUCUCUUGUCUCAGCCUCCCAAGUAGCUGGGACUACAGGCACCUGCCAGUACGCCUGGCUAAUUUUUUUUGUAUUUUUAGUAGAGAUGGGGUUUCACCAUGUUAGCCAGGAUGGUCUUGAUCUCCUGACCUCGUGAUCUGCCUGCCUCGGCCUCCCAAAGUGCUGGGAUUACAGGCAUGAGCCACCAUGCCUGGCAUCAUCAUUGAUUUAUGUCAUUGUUAUCCCUCUACCGCGGAGACCUUCUUUCAUUUUCCAUUUCCCUGGGAGUUCACGUGAAGUAGUGAAUGGGUCAAAAUCUUAACAGUGGUUGUUGAUCAAGUCCUUCCUUUCUUAUCCUUGGCACUGAAUAAAUCUUUGGUUUUCCAUAAUCAAAGGGUGAGGGAGACUUCUUUUGUCUACAUUAUUCAGCUUUCUGAAAGCUAUGCUGUGUCCAUUUGAGAAAAAGCCCCAGGGAUAUUGAAGGUCUGAGAAGUUGAGUGGUUCAGUGUGUUAUUAUAUUUAGGGUCCCAGUAAAGAAGAACUGAAGCAACUGUGAGACACCAGGGCAUACUUCCCUGUAUGAGUGGAAAACAAGGCACGGAAAAUAGCUCACAGGAUAGUCCUCAACUGACUUGCUUGAGGAUAAGCAGCUUCCCUUCGUGAAGAAGUUGCCAUUUCUCUGGCCUUCAUAUUUAUCUACUUUUUGUUAUUGUUGUCUGUAUCGGUUCAAUCUCACACUGCUAUAAAGAAAUGCCUGAGACUGGGUAACUUAUAAAGAAAAAAGGUUUAAUUGGCUCAUGGUUCCAUGGGCUGUACAGGAAGUAUGACUGGGGAGGUCUCAGGGAGCUUUUACUCAUGGCAAAAGGCAAAGCCAGAGCAGGUAUCUUCACAGGGCUAGAGCAAGAGGAAAAGAGAGAGGGGAGGUGCUACACACUUUUUAUGCAACCAAAUCUCAUGAGAACUCUAUCACGAGACAGCAGUAGGGGGACAGUGCUAAAUCAUUCAUGAGAAACUACCUGCGUGGUCCAGUCACCUUGCACCAGGCCCCACCUCCCACAUUGGGGAUUACAAUUAAACAUGAGAUUUGGGUGGGGAUACAGAUCUAAACUGUAUCAUUACUCAAAAAAAAAAAAAAAAAGAAAGAAAAGAAAACACAGGAAAAGGAACUCACCUCUUUUAUCAUCUUAGUAUUUAGUACUAAUGGUUUAGAGCAGGAAUUGACAAACUGUGGCCUGGACUCAUGGACCAACUCUGGCCCACCACCUGUUUCUCAGAAGAAAAUUUUAUUGGAACUCAGCCACACUUACUCAUUUACAUGUUGUCCUUGACUGCCUUUGUGUCCAGUGUCAGAACUGAGUAGCUGCAGCGGAGGUUGUGCCUCUGGGCUUUAAUAUCACAAACAGAGCAGCUUAUAAGCAACAGAAACUUACUUCUCACAGUUUUGGAGGCUGGGAAGUCCAAGAUCAAGGUGUCAACAUAUUUAGGGUCUAGGGAAGGUCUGCUUCUUGGUUAAUAGAAAGCACCUUUCACUGUGUCUUCACAUGGUAGAAGGGGAGAGCUCUGGUAUCUUCAGCCCCUUAUAAGGGCACUAAUCCCAUUCAUGAGAGCUCCACCCUCACGACCUAAUCACCUCCAAAAGGCCCCAUUUCGUAAUACCGUCAGUUAAGUUUCAUUAUAUGACUUUGAUGGGGAUAUAGCCCAUAGUAGGUUGUAUGUCCCUGAAAGCCUAAAAUAUUUACUGUUUGGCUCUUUACAGAAAAUAUUUUCUUGGCCCCUGUUCCAGAGCAUUCAUCAAGUCAGAUAAAGGGUUUAAACCAGUCAGAGAAACUAGGUGGAAUGGAAAAGUACUGAGAGAUAAUUGGGGACAGAAAAAUAAAAGAGAUGGGAAAUGCUGCAUCAAAAUACUCCUACCUCUAGGAUGUUACUAUAUAUUGUUAGGAGAAUUCAAGUUAUUGAAACUUGCCAAAUUCUUGAGUGAAGAGGAAUUCAUUUGAGAGCCAAAAUUUGACUAAGGAAAGAAGACCAACAUGGGCUUUCCAAAGUUGAGUUUGAAUUCUGCCAUCCCCACUAAGCAGUCAUGUGACCUUGGAAAAACUCCCUACUCUGAGUCUCAGUUUCUUUAUCUGUAUUAGGUUUCAACAAAGGGAAUAAAUCAUUGGCUUCUCAUGAGGUUGUCAUAAGGAUUAAAUAAGACAAUGCAUAUAAAAGAACUGGCAGACAAUAAAUAUAGAGUCCCCCACUCCUGCUUGGUGCUCUCUUUCUCUCUCCUUCUCUACAUAGAGAAGUGCCAGAGCAUCCGUCAGUAGAAGUUACUUAAGGUUGGCUGUGUCUUCCACAUCUUUUGUUUACCCAUGAAGAACUGUGACCAUCUUGUUCUGUGUCUUGUCAUAAAGAUGGGACGUGACUUCUUUCUGCUCUUGCUUCCAUCUGGUGCUGUUUUCUGCACAGCCUCCUUGAGACCUUCCAGAACCUUCUUUUUUCCUACUUCAUAUCACUUAACCAGUAGCUAUCUGGGAUGGUUCCAGAGGCUGAAGUUUGCAGUUGAAUAACAUUUUAAAUAGUGUUAAGCGACUUGGGAUCUCUGGCCCUUUGCGUUUCAGUAUUUGUCCUUUUUAUGCCUGAUGUUUAACCUGCCACAUGUUUGUACUGCAACAUGAAUCUUGGAAAUUUUAAUGUUAUGCAUUUCAAAUGUUUUUGGUUAUCUGUAAACUAAAUGUGCCCUUAUUGGCUCACUUGUCAAUAAAGAUGUUUGUAUAUGUAUUGUCAGAAACUUUUGUAAAUUGCUUUUAAAUUCUUCCUUUUUUAAAGCAUAUUUUAAGAUGUAAUGAAGGACCAACCAAAAAA